AACCAUUAAGUGGAACAUGGUGUCUAGGUUACACAGCUCACUCAUCUGCUGAUCACUGGGGCACACUGCUGGUUAUUAUUACCUGAGACCCUGAAAGGAAGCACUAAAAAAAUGAAGACAGAGGAAUACCAGGAGAGAAAGGAGGUCCAGUUAGACCUAAAGGUGGGCAAGAAGAAGAAGAAGAGAGUGCUUUGCAUGUAGCAUUUGAGGCAGGCGGCUGGGACACUGAAUGAAGAGCCUGGGGGAGGCAGGUUCAGCAUGCCACCGUUUCCUGGUCAUGAAGAUGCCAGCUCCAGCUCCAAGCAGGUGACAAGGCUGGGUGGCCAGGGGACAGGGGAGUGGGGUUCGAGGUCUCAGAGGAUUUUUAAAAACUUCCGUUGUCUUUCUACCUUGGAUUUCAGGAGCACCAGGGUAAUGUUCUAAACUUCUUUGUGAGGUUUAAAGUCUUCCCUCCCUUGGUCUAAAAUGUUGAAGUGGGUGGUGGAACAGAGAGGUGACAUGAAGAUGAGAGUUGAGCCAGAGGAAUAGGAUUCUCCAUCUUUGGGUAUGUCAUUUAAUUUUGGAAACACUCAGUUUCUGUUUAAGCAGUGUAACCAUAUAAUUUGUUGAACACUUUUGAAGGGGUGAAUGUUAAAUUGGAUAGCAUGUUGGGAAAAUGGGCUUAAACUGGAGAUAAAGUCGACCUAUGAAUAAAGAAGGGAUUAGGCCACGUAGCGGGGGUCAGGGGUGGUAAAUAGGUUUCAUACCCAUGGUAAUUAUGAAAGAGCGAUCAGGCUUUCUGGACUGCAUUGUGGAGGGGUUGGUGCAGCUGCUCUUGAGCACCGUGGAAGAGUUUCCUGAUUGAUUAGCAAUGUCUGCUCUAGUCUCUGGGAAGGAUGGCUGCACCCUUGCAGGUAUUCACCAUUCCUGGAUUGGAUGUCUUCAAGAGCCUUUUCAAUUCUAUUUUUGUAAUAAGAAUAAUUGAGAAGUGAAUGAAGCUAACCUUCUUAUUUAAAUGCCCUGGAGGUUGAGACCUGGAAAGCCAGACUGAGAGGCCUAUGGCAGUGCUUUUCCAACUGAAUGUGUACACUUGAAUCUUGUCAAAAUGCAGAUUCUGAAUCAGAGGUCUGGGCUAAGGCCCAAUAGCCUCAAUUUCUGAUGAGUUCCCAGGUGAUACCGAUGCUGCUGGUCUGUGGGCCACACUUUGAGCAACAAAGACCUAAGGCAGCAUCCUGAACCUGGGCCAGUGCCCCUUCACUGCAGGCUCAUAGCCUGCAGAAGAACCUGCAUAUAUGCUACUUUCCAAAGAUUUUUUUCCGCAAGUCAUUUAAGUGAUUCCUCCAGACAGCCUUUUAAUGUUUGAUAGAUUAUUUCCCGCCCCCAUCACCCACUUUUUUUUUUCCUAAAUGUGCUUCUCAGGUGCAGCAGGUUUAAGUGCCUAGCCCAAGGGCUAUAAAUGGCAGAGCUGAGACUCACAUUUAAGUCUUUGCCCUUCCCCAGGUGGCCCUUUGAACACCUAUCUGGCAGGCCUAAUUAUAGAGGUAAUGUUGUGAGUGCCCUCAGCUCAAAUGGGGCAGCUCUUGGAGCAGUGCCAAGGGAUUGUACUGAUGCUAAAUUUGCCUUCAGAUCACGUCAGAAGCCUAAGCUUGCCUUGUGACCCCCAGCUCCACCAUUCCAGCCAGUCAUUAAGGCAGGCAGACAACAUCUUACAGUCUUGGGUUCAUGGGAGCCUUCUUUGUUCUUAUGAGGGUUUUAGAGGCAGAUAGACCUGGAUCAGAAUCUUUCCAUGUCAUUUGACCUUAAGCAAGUUACUUAAUCUCCCAAAUUAAAGUCCCUUCACCUGUAAAAAGGCACAUUCUUGGCUGAGCGCAGUGGCUCACGCCUGUAAUCCCCGCACUUUGGGAGGCUGAGGCAGGUGGAUCAUAAGGUCAGGAGUUUUAGACCAGCCUGACCAACAUGGUGAAACCCCGUCUCUACUACUAAAAAUACAAAAAUUAACCAGGCAUGGUGGUGCGCACCUGUAAUCCCAGCUACUCGGGAGGCUGAGGCAGGAGAAUUUCUUGAACCCAGGAGGCGGAGGUUGCAGUGAGCUAAGAUCGCACCAUUGCACUCCAGCCUUGGCAACAGAGGGAGACUCCAUUUC
rnacentral:lncRNA from 1 species